rnacentral:lncRNA from 1 species
AUGGGCAGCUUGGGUCCUAGAGACCAAGCGAGAGAGGGUGACGUCAAUGCUAAGGAUGCCAAGCCAAAGCUGAAGGAAAAGACUGAUAAGUGCGAUGACUACGAGAACAUUAAGAAAGCGUGUGCUUUGAAGCCCACCAUUGAGCCAAACAUGGACACAGAGACAAGGAGAAGUGAGGAUGACGUGGAGAUCAGCUACUCUGAGGUCACGUUCAGAGCAAAGCCAGGACACCAGACAGUCUGUAGUUCUGACCCUCGCCACUGCAGGGCAAGCCACAGCAGCAGCUCAGAUGAAGAAGACUACACAACCCAGUAUACUGAUGUUAAAAUAUCAGAGGAAGUUUCAUUCAUAGUCAAAAAAUAG